rnacentral:rRNA from 1 species
GAUGAACGCUAGCGGCAGGCUUAAUACAUGCAAGUCGAGGGGCAGCAUGUCCCGCAGCAAUGCGGGAUGAUGGCGACCGGCAAACGGGUGCGGAACACGUACACAACCUUCCUUUAAGUGGGGAAUAGGCCAGGGAAACUUGGGUUAAUACCCCGUAAUAUAUAGAAGUGGCAUCACUUUUAUAUUAUAGCUCCGGCGCUUGAAGAUGGGUGUGCGGCUGAUUAGAUAGUGGCGGGGUAACGGCCCACCAAGUCGACGAUCAGUAACUGGUGUGAGAGCACGACCAGUCACACGGGCACUGAGACACGGGCCCGACUCCUACGGGAGGCAGCAGUAAGGAAUAUUGGUCAAUGGACGCAAGUCUGAACCAGCCAUGCCGCGUGGAGGAUGAAGGUCCUCUGGAUUGUAAACUUUCUUUUAUUUGGGAAGAAACCCAUUCUUUUCUUGGAUGGCUGACGGUACCAGAUGAAUAAGCACCGGCUAACUCCGUGCCAGCAGCCG